rnacentral:rRNA from 1 species
UACGUAGGGUGCGAGCGUUAAUCGGAAUUACUGGGCGUAAAGCGUGCGCAGGCGGUUCGUUGUGUCGGUGGUGAAAGCCCCGGGCUUAACCUGGGAAUGGCCAUGGAAACUGGCGAACUGGAGUGUGGCAGAGGGGGGUGGAAUUCCGCGUGUAGCAGUGAAAUGCGUAGAGAUGCGGAGGAACACCGAUGGCGAAGGCAGCCCCCUGGGUUAACACUGACGCUCAGGCACGAAAGCGUGGGGAGCAAACAGG